rnacentral:lncRNA from 1 species
UGGAGGUUCCCAGGCUAGGGGUCAUAUUGGAGCUAUAGCCUCUGGCCUAUGCCACAUUCACAGCAAUGCCAGAUCUGAGCCGACUCUGUGACCUACACCACAGCUCACCGCAACUCCAGAUCUCUAACCCACUGAGUGAGGCCAGGGAUCAAACCUAUGUCCUCAUGGAUGCCAGUUGGGUUCAUUAACCACUGAGCCACGAUGGGAACUCCUGGCCUACCUUUCUAAUUCCCUAGACCAUAUGACCAAUAUGGUCAUAUGUCACCAAGGGCCACAGGAUAUAAUCAAUAAAUUUCUACCCUGAAAAUAAAAUCUCUGUUCCACUGUUGUUUUCAUUUUUUCCUUUAUGGGCUCUCAAAGUCUUCUGUCUAUAAAACCUUACCAGAUCUCUUUUAUAUUCUCAUAUAUUGUUUCUUACUUGUCCAAAUCUAGUUUAUAUAUCUGAAACUCCAAGCAAUAAACACCUUGCUUAAACAUGGAAGGUAUGUGGUAGGAGAAAGGAGUAGUGGAUGUGACUAUCAGAUAACCUAAUGCUGUGAUAGAGCUUUUACCAGUAAGUGAAAAACCCUAAGUCUUAAUCUACUUCAAAACUGAGGUUUACGUUCUUAGGAGAUACAUGCUAUAAAUUAUUUAGGAAUUAAGUUUUAUGGGACCUCCAAGUUAUUCUCAAAUGGUUCAGUCAAAAUGAUAGAUAGAUAGAUAGAUAGAUAUAAAUCUAAUAAUGCAAAAUGGAGAAGAUAGAUGGAUAUAAAUAUAAUAAGCAAAAUGGAGAUGGUGACAUCUAGAAUUUAGAUGUGUGGGAUAUAUAGGAAUUAACUGUACUGGUCUUUCAACUUCCCUGUAUAUGUGAAAAUGCUGAGAAGGAAAAUUGAGGUGGGGGGAGACACAAAGCUGGACUAAUUUUAACCUCUUCUAUUUCCAAAUUUUGUGACUAUGUGUAUCUAAAUUAUACUUCAUUGAAAACUUUCCCAAACUUUCUUCCAUCGGGCCUUCUCCAUUUGUACCAAUGUCACCUCAUUAUCUUACAACUGAGAUCUGACAUCCUAGAGUGAUCCCUGAUUCUUCUCUCCUUCUGGCUUCAUAUUCACUAGUCUGAAGCAUUCUCAGUCUUCCUUUCAAAUAUCUUGUGUGUUUCACCAGCUUUACCUCCCCACUGGCAUCACCUUCAAUCUACCCUGGAAUUUUUUAGCAUCUUCCUUCCUGAUUUCAUUUCCAUGUCAACUGUGCUAACGCAAAUUUUAUGAUGUCACUUCCCUGUUCACGAGUUUUCAGUGAACUACUUCUCAAAUGGUGUCUCCCAUCAUUCCCUACCCAAGGCCCAGGCAACACAAAGGUAAGUCCACUCCUCACUACAUCCUAUGUUUUUGCUUUCGUUCACACAGAUCUCCCCUGAAAGCAUCUUUUCCUCCCCACUGUAAUUAUUAAAGCUCUAUCAGCUGGCCCUUACUGUAUACUAAACCAAUUAACAUUGCUCUCUUUAUAUAUAAACAUCCUCUCAUGUUCAUCUACAGCCUUGACCCUUAUUACACCCAAAGAUUUCCUAAGAAUGUGACCUCCAUGAGGGCAGAAAGCUUGCCAGUCUUGGUCACUGAUUUAUCUUCGGGACAAAAUUAGGACAGGCUAUUAUUUGGGGAAUACAUGAAUUCUGUGUUCCUGAAGAUUUUCACUUAGUUAAUUUUACAUUUUGUGUUGUCAGAUUUCCCACAUGUGCACACAAAACUCUUUCCCAUCAAAGAAGAAAAAUAAAGUAUUUUUUUAAAACUUUUCAUUAGGGUUCUUAAGAGAAACAGGACCUAGAGGAUACACAGAGAUGUAGAAAAGGAGAUUUACUAUGAGGAAUUGGCUCAAGUGACAAUGGAGCAGAGAUCUAAGAUCUACUGUCUCCAAGCUGGAGGCCCAGGAAAGGUAGAAGCAUAGUUCUAGUCCAAACCUAAAGGCGUGUGAGCCAGGAGCACUGAUGUCCAAGGUCAGGAGAAGAUGCAUGUCCCAGCUCAAGAAGAGAGGAUCAACUUGCCCUCCCUCCAGCUUUUCUGUCCUAUUGAGGUCCUCAGCGGAUGGGAUGGUGCCCCCUUGCACAGUUGAGAGAAACUUCUUUGCUUAUUCUACCAGUUCAAAUGCUACAAACUUCUGGAAACACUCUCACAGACACACCUGGAAAUCAUGUUUCACUGCCUAACUGGGCAUCCCUUAGCCAAGUCAAGCUGACACAUAAAAUUAACCAUCAUGGACCUCCACAGCUGUCAGGAAAGCCUAAGAAAGAGGAAGAAUAACUAUCUGAGGCAUAAGAGGUAUUGUAGAUCCUCUUCCCUAAAAAGCAAAUGUGUGGGUGACCCAGCCAAAUUGCAGACAGACAUACAAAUAUACGUAGUGAGUUAAAGCAAAUGGAAAAAGUGCAAUUGUUAAGUGCCUUAAACACAAGGUCCAGGGGGUGCUAUCUGUUGAUGACUAUGACAAAGCACACUUUGUUUCCUCACCUUGAUCCCUACAUCUAACCUUCAUCACGGAGCCUCUCAAAGGCUGUGUCGGCUCCCUCAUGCCCGAUUCUUGGACCAAUCCUACUACAGAAGUCAAGGGGAAGGACACCUAGAGUGUCUACUUGUGGGUCCCACUGAUUGAAAAUCAAGAUGCUCUUACUAUUGGCCCCACCCCUUCCCUUCCCCCACUUCCCAAAAUAUUUGUUCCUGCCUGCUCUCUCAGUUUUCCUAGCUCUUCUUUGCCUCAUCUGGAUUUCAAGCAUUAAAAUGUUCAAAAGAAGUCUCUGUUUAAUAAAAGAAAACCAGGACCAAGGCGUAGAAAGCAAAUUUAAUAACCCCUCUCAGUGCCUGAAAGUUCUGGCCCUGAACAUCAAAAUCCCAGCAGCUCUUGAACUUGAAUUUUGACUAAUUAAACAAUGAUACUCAUGGGUCUGUUCUCCUCUGCCCUCUCUAUCCUCCAUUAUCAGAUGUACACACACACACACACACACAAUUUCAGACCUCAUGUUCUGACCUAGACUCAGGCUUUUACCAUUCUGUAGCUCAGUCCAAAAAAACAAUACCCAGACCUGCCUUCAUGGUUAGUCACCUGUUAUUAAGCACAGCCUGCUAACUCCUGUCAUGGUGAUCAUAUGUGUAUCCCAUUCCCUUAAAGCCCCUUCCUUCCAUCGCCCACCUCAAAGUGCUUUGAUUGGACGAUUCUCCCUUUCUCCCUUUUAUUGGGAAGAGUAAUGAAAAUCAUUUUGUUAAACAGAAUUUCUGCCUUAGUCCUAUAAACAUAAUUCAAAAUAGUGGCUCUAGUUUGACCUAAUGUCAUUUAUACACAAUAAAUUUCUGCAUGCUCCUUUUUGUCCUGACUGCCAGGUGAGCCAAUUUUGCUUAGGGAAAUAUUUCAUCUCCAUCGAUUUAUGUGUGGGCAUUGGGCUGUCAAAAAAAAAAAAUAGUAACAGUAUCAAAUACAUUGUUUCCUCUGCAUUCUUCACUUUGAGGAACUUGAGAAAUACACUUUCUACCAUGUAUUAUAAUCUGCUCAUUUCUUGUGCCUGACGUUAUUUACCUCUCCUGCUUUCUUCAGUAAGAUUCUGUUUUAACCUUCUGUGUCCUACCUUUCAUGGUGCUCUGAUUUGUAAACUCCAUCAAGUAGAUGGAGUGUAAAUAUUAAAUUCAGGAUACCAUGUUAACCUCUCAAAUUAACCAGCUGAAAGGUUAUUCUAAUUACAGAUCCAUCAUUGCAGCUAGACUAAAAGACCAAAGUAAAGUUAAAUAUGUGAAUGCAACAUCAACCCAAAACUGCCUAUUACAAAAGAAUGUGCAGGCCACAAAGAAUGUGUGUUUCAUGUCACAGUGAAAUUGGCUCGGGGAAAAUUAAUGGUGAAUAAUUCAGAAUAAAUGUAGUCAGAAAUGUCCUUAAAAUGUUUCCAUAAAAUUUCAUUUAUGUCUCAAUCAUAGUGCCUUCCGUAAACUCCUGGAGCUCUUGGAAAAUAACUCAGACCAGCAUGAGAUAGAUACUUCAAUAGCAUAUUUUAAAACAAGGAGUUUGUGUUAGCUUCACUUUAAACUCAACUAGACAAAGAAAUGGAAAAUAAAUUCAUAUAAAUCUUAGAAAAUUUAAAGAAAAAACAAUUGAGCCACAAUUUAGUACUAACCAUGACACUUUUCUAUAGUCAAUAGCACUGGCGAUAUUUAUAUUAUACUUUCAAUCCAAAGUCUAAAAAUUGUCAUGAUCAUUAGAAGCUAGCUAUUUCUUAGUGAGUACACUUGUAGCUACUUGAAAGACAGAACUCAUACAUUGCUUCAUGUAAAAUAUAAUUCAUGAUGGGCAGAUGAUUUUUGCAAACCUAGCCACUUAUAUUUCUGCAUUGCUUCCCAACCUUUCAAAAUAUUUACCACCUGCUAGGUCUCCCAAUCUCAUCUUUAGUUUUUAUUUUUAGACAUUUCAGUGUUUUAAAGUAAGUGAUCUUUAGAAAGGAGAAAAAAAAGACUAGAGAAUGAGAACAAGCUAAGACUGCCCUAAAGUCAUGUGAAAAUAGGACCAAAAACAAGAUGCAAGAGUUCAGAACUGCUGGCUUCAUCUGAGUUAUCCUUAGAGAACAAUUCAGAAAGCUAGGGAAGUGGUCUCUGCUAAACCUUUCAAAGUACAUCUCUGUGGGAACCAAGAAAGCCACCUGCCAUAUUAGUAAACAAAGAAUGUUGCAACUAUCAAGCCACUCACUAGAGCUGCCCCCAAGAGUAAGCCCUGAGGGAACUCAGGAUGGAAACAGGAUGCCAGCCAUUAAGCAGUCAACCACUAAAGCCACUCCCAACCAUGCACCCUGAGGGGACUCAGGAUGAGAAAGCACAGGAUACUGGCCUCAGAGGGCUGAGGUGCAUAUCAAAGGAAUAAUUUCCAAGAGCCCAGACCCUUGUUAUCUUUCCCUACAUAUAAAAGUGCUGAAUUCCUUAACUUGAGAUACCUGUUUUAUUUAAUUAACAGUCAUCUUUUGAUGUUCUGACUACCUAGUCUUUGUUGCAAAAACUCCUGUAUAUCCUGGUUCCCCCCUUGCCUCUUCAGCGCAGUCUCUCAGUUAUCUGAAAUGCUGUGUCCCGGGCUUAAGUCCUCAGUUUUGUCCACUGAAUAAAACAAAACUCUCAACUCUUAGGUUGUGUGUUUUUUGGUUUUUGGUUCGAUUUAGUCAACAUCUCUCUUGUAGCCGAAAUGCUGCCUCUGUACACCAGCACCAAUCAAGUCUCAGAGACAGAGUUUUGGGUGAAGCAGAAAGAAUUUAUUGCCUUGCUAGUCAAAGGAGGGCACAGCAGGCUAACAUCUCAAAAUUGUGUCCUGUCUUGAGAGGGGAUAGCAAGGGAUUUUAUAGGUUUAGCUCAGAAGACAGGCUUAUUGACUAAGGUGUCUAUAUUAUUCUUCACCCAUAGAUCAUUUCAGUCAUCAAAUCUGGUGUCAGUUGGUCUGGUGAUGGUUUCUGGCUGUCUUUGUGGUUAUCAUUCCUUGACCUUUUCUUUGGAAAAAAAUUGCUUAUAGGAAAGGGGUGUUAGGGAGUGUUUCAAUUACAAAAGAAAACACUAGGUACAAUGUAACUCUAACUAGAAAGUAAACGUUAGUAAUAAGUUAGUGGGCCAAGGCAAGGCAUAACAUGAUGGAGACUAUUUUAACUAGUUUUUUGCUGUAAAGGUAUUUCCUAAUCAUUAACUCUUGAGUCGGCCUUUUGAGACUGAGGAGAAGCCUGGGAGGCUAAAGGAAAAGGCUUUUAUUGCACAACACAAAGAUUUAGGGUCUGGUACAUGGUUUCACUCUGAGGUGACAAUGCCAUGGGCUUGCACAGGCUUGUUUGGAGUCUGAAGGGGUCUGGUGACACAUCAAACUAUUAAAGAAAUAUCUUUUCUCUCCAAAGUAAAUGAGACAUAGAAGAGUAGAUCUAGUCUUCUUUAUAUUUAUUGAAGUUGUUUACAUUGCUUUUAUAUUUACUGAGGUUGUUUACCAUAUAGUUCAAAGUAUCACAUAGUCCUCUUAACCAUAUCACAAAGAAACAGAAAUCCUCUACUCCCACUACAUUUCACAGGACAUAGAGAUAAGCAUGUUCAACAAUGUAGCUGGGUUCAAUUAAAAAAAAAAAAAAGAAAAAAAAAAGAAAGAAAUUCCUUAAGCCUAAAUAAUGUGCUUAUUUUGCUACUUCCAGAUAUUUCCUUCUUUCAGAUGUUAUUUACUGAUAUCCCCCAUGAAAGCUAAGGAUUUAGAUCAUUUGCACCCAACCUCUUCCAAGAUGCAAUCAUGCUCACACUUCUAUAGCAUAAUUUUGGUUGCAUCAAUAAUCAGUAUUUGCAUUACUUUGACUUGUAGAUGAUUUUCAUAGCUGAAUCAUCAACUGCAUUAUGGUUACUUUCCCUUUCUUGUACAACUUUGUCUCUUCUUGGAACUAAUUGUAAUAUUCCUUUUCUUAGUUUUCCAUGUACUAAUUAUCAAUUUCUCCCCCAAACUCUCCCUUAGUUGUGUUCAAUGCCCCUCAAUAUGGUCAAUAAUGUCAGCUACUUAUCAGUUUCCUUUAUUUAGAAACACAGCUCUAGAAGCUUCCAACUGCCCAAAAGUGGACUGAAUGCUCUCAAGGUCUACUGCAUGGCUGUGCCCCUGGGUUUCUCUUCAGCUUUCUCAUGUUGGAUCUCACAUACAUCCACUUUCAAUAUCUAUUCUCUUAUACUGUGAAGUCUUAUCUCCCAACUUUGUGAGAAAGGCUGCAUGAGAAGUAACUAUUAUGAGGCCCAGGCUGUCUGAAAAAUAUCUUUAUUAUGGACACAUAUUUAAUUGACAGCUUGGUGAGUUUUAGGAUUACACUCCCUCUCCCUCUGUAGAUCUAAAAUACAUAGUUGCCAUAUAUUUCUCCCACAAAGAUGAGUUUAUUGAGGAUCAGCA